rnacentral:tRNA from 1 species
GGGGUUGUGGCUCAAAGGUAGAGCACUCUCCUGGCAUGUGUGAGGCACUGGGUUCAAUCCUCAGCACCA